rnacentral:rRNA from 1 species
AGUGAACGCUGGCGGUAGGCCUAACACAUGCAAGUCGAACGGCAGCACAGUAAGAGCUUGCUCUUACGGGUGGCGAGUGGCGGACGGGUGAGGAAUACAUCGGAAUCUACUUUUUCGUGGGGGAUAACGUAGGGAAACUUACGCUAAUACCGCAUACGACCUACGGGUGAAAGCAGGGGAUCUUCGGACCUUGCGCGAUUGAAUGAGCCGAUGUCGGAUUAGCUAGUUGGCGGGGUAAGGGCCCACCAAGGCGACGAUCCGUAGCUGGUCUGAGAGGAUGAUCAGCCACACUGGAACUGAGACACGGUCCAGACUCCUACGGGAGGCAGCAGUGGGGAAUAUUGGACAAUGGGCGCAAGCCUGAUCCGGCCAUACCGCGUGGGUGAAGAAGGCCUGCGGGUUGUAAAGCCCUUUUGUUGGGAAAGAAAAGCAGCAGGUUAAUACCCCGCUGUUCUGACGGUACCCAAAGAAUAAGCACCGGCUAACUUC